rnacentral:misc_RNA from 1 species
AUAAUUAUUUUCACACAAUUAAUUUAAUUCCUAAUUAAAUUUAUUCUUUGAAUAGUAAUAUAUACAAUUAUUUUACAUACAAUAAGUGCUUACACUUGCAUACAUUGUAGGGUUUAGUAUACAAACAAAAUAGAGUGAGUGAGUAAUCAGUAGUAAAUAAGAAGUCCACCGACAAUGAUCUAAUCACCAAAUAUGGCAACCUACGAGGUACGGAAAAUUCCUAUAAGCCAAGACGUUGUUACGUGUGCGAUAAAAUAUUCUGCUGUGUAGAUUGUUGUGAGGAGCACAUAAAGAAAAAACACAGUACCCGUCAUACUAUCACCGACUGUCCUCUGUGUCGCAGAGAGCCAUUAACAGUGCGUA